GGUGCUGUAGCUCAGUGGCAGAGCACUUGUCUAGCAUGAGUGAGGCACUGGGUUCUAUCCUCAGCACCA
rnacentral:tRNA from 1 species